CGAAAGCCUGACGGAGCAAUACCGCGUGAGGGAGGAAGGCUCUUGGGUCGUAAACCUCUUUUCUCAGGGAAGAACAAAAUGACGGUACCUGAGGAAUAAGCAUCGGCUAACUCCGUGCCAGCAGCCGCGGUAAUACGGAGGAUGCAAGCGUUAUCCGGAAUGAUUGGGCGUAAAGCGUCCGCAGGUGGCUAUGUAAGUCUGCUGUUAAAGCGUCUAGCUCAACUAGAUAAAAGCAGUGGAAACUACAAGGCUAGAGUACGUUCGGGGCAGAGGGAAUUCCUGGUGUAGCGGUGAAAUGCGUAGAGAUCAGGAAGAACACCGGUGGCGAAGGCGCUCUGCUAGGCCGUAACUGACACUGAGGGACGAAAGC
rnacentral:rRNA from 1 species